rnacentral:rRNA from 1 species
GACAGAGGGUGCAAACGUUGUUCGGAUUUAUUGGGCGUAAAGAGCGUGUAGGCGGCCAAGCAGGUCCGCUGUGAAAACUCGAGGCUCAACCUCGAGACGUCGGUGGAAACCGUUUGGCUAGAGUCCGGAAGAGGAGAGUGGAAUUCCUGGUGUAGCGGUGAAAUGCGCAGAUAUCAGGAAGAACACCCGUGGCGAAGGCGGCUCUCUGGGACGGUACUGACGCUGAGACGCGAAAGCGUGGGGAGCGAACAGG